UACGAAGGGUGCAAGCGUUAAUCGGAAUUACUGGGCGUAAAGGGUGCGUAGGCGGUUCGUUAAGUCUGUCGUGAAAUCCCCAGGCUCAACCUGGGAACUGCGUCCGAUACUGGAUGGCUUGAAUCCGGGAGAGGGAUGCAGAAUUCCAGGUGUAGCGGUGAAAUGCGUAGAUAUCUGGAGGAAUACCGGUGGCGAAGGCGGCAUCCUGGACCGGCAUUGACGCUGAGUGAGCGAAAGCCAGGGGAGCAAACGGG
rnacentral:rRNA from 1 species